GCACUCUUGAGCAAUUCAUCUUGUCAAUUUCCUUCACAAAAUUUUCCCGUCAAAUCUCAUGAUCUGUUGAAUUCCCUAAGGAGUUCUACUUGCAGCUAAAGAGAAAGUCACAGAAUAACCGCGGUUCACAUUCAAUACUUUUUCUUCUUCGGAAAGAGUUAGCACUUCCUUCUCCAAUUGGUACAGAUGUAACUCAUGAUCCUGCUAUAUUGGUUUGUUGGACCUACACGAUCACACUUAUCUCAAAUGAUGCGCCAAACCAAGUAUAUAUCAAAGAAGAAACAGCUGGAAUGCAGUAGACAAGUGAGAGCCUCACCUGUCUCAACAAAGGAUCAGGAAGGGCAGACGAAAAGGUCUGAGUUUAUUCAAAGGCCUUGACGGCAGACAUACUCAAUGAGGUGUAACCGAGCAAAAACAAAGAUCGAGGAUGCAGAUGAGCUUAAUGAAUCUUCUGCAACAUCAGACUUAAAGAACCUGAAGAAAACAAAUGCAUAGGAGAAGAUGAAAAAGAACAAGACAUCUGUAACGUGUUGGUGUAUGUUUGAAGUUUCAGACGAAUAGAAAAUGUUGAACAAAUUGUGUAUAAAUGUGGUAUAUCAAGGCAUUAAAGUCAAGAAAGACGGAGGGAAUUAUCUCUCGUUUUGGAGAACA